GUGCUGGUUUGGGUUGAGGAAUGGACCUGGAGGCUUUCAUCCUCCCGGUUCCAGGCCGCGAUGACGCCUUUGCCUUCCAUCGGCAUGCAGGCGCU
rnacentral:tRNA from 1 species